CUAUACAGCCAUAUGUCGUUUGCCCACUGAUUCGGAAACCAUUCCUUUAAACUCAACAUUCACUUGGAUGUCUGUAAAUUUCAGUUCCAGCCACAUUGAUGACAUCAAAGACCAUUUGAAAUGUGCACAGGGUCAGACAUUCGCUGUUAUUUUAAAUGAGAGCUGUGAAGUCUCACCUUCUGAGUCCUACACAACUCAAGUUGUCCCUCCAAGAACAAGUUCUGAGAGCAGUGCUACAUUCCCAACAGUCACACCAUCCACACCAUUAGCCACAAACACUUCUAAUACACCACUCAAUACAACAAGUCUAAUAUUCAAUACAUCCAUCAACAGUACAGGCAAUCAAACAAACACGGUGUCAAAUUAUACAGCAAGUCUACCACUCAAUUCAACACGUGAUAUAGUACCGCCGGUCAAUAUAGCAAGUACACAACACUAUAUAACAACCUCAAUGGUCAGUACAACACAUAAAACAUCCAGUGUAACACCUCAACUGAGCAAUACAGCAGUUACAAUACACUAUACAACAACCUCACCUGUCAGUACAACAGGUACAUCAAACAAUAUACUAGCACCAUUGGUCAGUACAACAACAACGACACACAAUAUAACAACCCCAGCAAUCAGCACAACAGGUACAACACACAAUAUAACUUCACCUGUCAAUACAACAGGUACAUCAAACAAUAUACCAGCAUCAUUGGUCAGUACAGCAAAUAUGACACCCAAUAUAACAACCUCACCUGUCAGUACAACAGGUACAUCAAACAAUAUACUAGAAUCAUUGGUCAGUACAACAAAUAUAACACCCAAUAUAACAACCUCACCUGUCGGUACAACAGGUACAUCAUACAAUAUACCAGAAUCAUUGGUCAGUACAACAAAUAUAAUACCCAAUAUAGCAACCUCACCUGUCGGUACAACAGGUACAUCAAACAAUAUACCAGCAUCAUUGGUCAGUACAGCAAAUAUGACACCCAAUAUAACAACCUCACCUGUCAGUACAACAGGUACAUCAAACAAUAUACUAGAAUCAUUGGUCAGUACAACAAAUAUAACACCCAAUAUAACAACCUCACCUGUCGGUACAACAGGUACAUUAAACAAUAUACCAGAAUCAUCGGUCAGUACAACAAAUAUAACACCCAAUAUAACAACCUCACCUGUCGGUACAACAGGUACAUCAUACAAUAUACCAGAAUCAUUGGUCAGUACAACAAAUAUAAUACCCAAUAUAGCAACCUCACCUGUCGGUACAACAGGUACAUCAAACAAUAUACCAGCAUCACUGGUCAGUACAACAAAUAUAAUACCCAAUAUAACAACCUCACCUGUCGGUACAACAGGUACAUCAAACAAUAUACCAGCAUCACUGGUCAGUACAACAAAUAUAAUACCCAAUAUAACAACCUCACCUGUCGGUACAACAGGUACAUCAAACAAUAUACCAGCAUCACUGGUCAGUACAACAAAUAAGACACCCAAUAUAACAACCUCACCAGUCAGCACAACAACUACGACACACGAUAUAAUAACCCCAACAGUCAGCGCAACAUACAAUGUAACAACCCCACCAGUCAGUUCAACAAAUACGGCACAUGAUAUAUUAACAACAACAGUCGGUGCAACAAAUACACCAUACAAUAUAGCAACCUCACAAGUCAAAACAAGACUCAAUAUAACCUCAGUGGUCAGUACAACUCACACAACACUCAAUGAAACAACCCCACUGGUCAAUACAAUAGAUACAUCACACAAUAUAAUGACUUCAAUGGUCACUACAACACAUACAACACUUGAUGUAACAGCCCAGCCGGUCAAUACAAUAGAUACAACAGAAAAAAUAACAACCUCAGUGGUCAGUACAACACAUACAACACUCAAUGUAACAACUCAACCAGUCGAUACAACAGACAAAAUAACAACCUCAAUGGUCAGUUCAAAACAUACAACACUCAAUGUAGUACCACACAAUAUAACAACUUCACAUGUCAGCACAACAGCUACAUCAAACAAUAUAGCAAACUCACCAAUCACAACAACAGGUACAGAAUCGACACUCAAUAUAACAACUUCAAAUGCCCAUACAACAGGUACGCCACACAAUUUAGCAAUCAGUACAACAGGUAUAUCAAAAUAUACAACAACCUCACCAGUCAGCACAACAGAUACAACACAUAAUAUAACAACCUCACCAGUCAGCACAACAGGUACCUCAAACAAUAUACCAACAUCACCAGUCAGUACAACAAAUAUGACACACAAUAUAAUAAUCCCACCAGUCAGCGCAACAGGUACAACACACAAUACAACAACCUCACCAGUCAGCACAACAGAUACAACACACAAUAUAACAACCUCACCAGUCAGCACAACAGAUACAACACACAAUAUAACAACCUCACCAGUCAGCACAACAGGUACCUCAAACAAUAUACCAACAUCACCAAUCAGUACAACAAAUAUGACACAUAAUAUAAUAAUCCCACCAGUCAGCGCAACAGGUACACCAUACAAUACAACAACCUCACCAGUCAGUACAACAGAAACAACACUCAAUUUAACACUCUCACUGGUCAAUACAAUAGAUCCAACACACAAUAUAACAGAAACCACAUUCGAUAUAACAAAUUCACCGGCCAGUACAAGAGAUACGACACUCAAUGUAACAGCCUCAAUGGUCCAUACAAUAAGUACACCACAUAAUAUAACAACCUCACCAGUCAAAACAACAGAAACGACAAUCAACACAACAACUACACCACAUAAUGUACCACCAUUACUGAUCAGUGCAACAAAUACAACACCUAAAAUAACAACCGCACCAGUUAGCACAACAGGCACACCCAUUAUAACAACCUCGUUGGUCAGUACAACAGAUAUAGCACUCAAUGUAACAACCCCACCAGUCAAUACAACAGUUACAGUACAAAACUUAACAUAUUCACCAGUCAAUACAACAGUCAUACCACUCAACCUAACUGUCACAAGACUCAGUUCAACAACCCCUACAGUCAGUACAACAGCCACAUCAAUUGACACAACUGCUGCAACAGUCACAACACUUGAUAAAACUUCAACAACUCUCAACACAUUAAUCAUGCCACUUAAUACAACAGGUAUGCCACUCAUUUCAACAGCCAUACCACCUUCUGAGGUGGAAACAACAACACCACCCAAUACAACAGCACAGAUAAGUGAAACUCUUAUUACAACAGUUAGACCAUUAAAUGCAACAGUCGCACCUCACUUAACUACUGCCAUGCCACUCAUCUCAACUGCACUACAUCAUACAACAGUCACACCAUUCAAUACAACAGUGAAAGUUCCAAACUCAACUUUCACAUCCGAAAGUCUGGAAAAUGCGACACAAUCUAACACAAGUAGUUCUCAAAUCUCUGGCGAAGUGUCCACCACCACCACCACAACCUUUCUGCCAAAUACAACACUGUUUAACUUGACAGCACCAUUACACCUAAAUGAAACAACACCCCCAUUAAACACUACACAACACACCACCACAUUCACAACACAUUUAAACAUUACUGGGCAAGACAAUACAACAAUAUUUAACACUACAUUAUUCACUCACAAUGUAACAACUCUCAUAGAAAAUAGGACAGAUUUAAUAAUACCUAAUGUGACAGAGGUUAACGGAACACUUAAAAUUACUACAAACCUCAAAAACACAACAAAUGUGAGCUCUUCUGUCUUAAAUACCACAACACAAUACCCACAUGUUACACAAUAUAACACAACCACUCUAUUUGAAAAUGCAACACACUCCGAUAAUACAAGCCUAACCCACACUACAGAAUCACCAAGUAACGUAAAUGAAUCAAAUACAACUCAACCUCUUGACAGUACAUCUGAAUUCAAUACAACAGCCAUUCCUUAUUACACAACACAACCUCUGAAUGAUUCUACAGUGGAGGAGACCACAGAUGCUGAAACUGAUACCACUACAGAUACACCUGAAUUCAAUACUACAAUGUAUUCACUUAACUU
rnacentral:lncRNA from 1 species